UACGUAGGGUGCGAGCGUUAAUCGGAAUUACUGGGCGUAAAGCGUGCGCAGGCGGUUUUGCAAGACAGAUGUGAAAUCCCCGGGCUUAACCUGGGAACUGCAUUUGUGACUGCAAGGCUAGAGUGUGUCAGAGGGAGGUGGAAUUCCGCGUGUAGCAGUGAAAUGCGUAGAGAUGCGGAGGAACACCGAUGGCGAAGGCGGCAUCCUGGACCGAUAUUGACACUGAUGAGCGAAAGCCAGGGGAGCAAACGGG
rnacentral:rRNA from 1 species